ensembl:lncRNA
ACGGGGUUGCAUAAAACAUGUUUAAUUUGUUAUUUUUGGAUAUAUCCAUGGAUAUAAACCAUAAAUUUUCACAUCAUAAGAUUAUCUGACUGGUGUACACACUGUACAGUAGAGACCACUGGUAAGAGAUCAUAUAAAGUCCACUUCAGUGCUUAUUAAACUUUUUACUGUCUUUAUUAAAUUAAACAAAUGACAUGUAAAAAAUCUUUCCUACAAACUUGUAAGCUCAUUUAGCUGAGCUCUUUGUCUUUUUGUCACCAUCGUUGAUCAAUCGAGUUGAAUAGUAUGAAUAGUACUUAUGAAUAGUAAAUAGCUAAAUGAGGCAUUUGUUUGUUUGCAUAGAAAAAGCCAUAUGGCCUAUUCUUUCCUCUGAAUCCAAUCUGACAAAACAUGUAGUGCCUCCAGAGAGAGCGAGAGAAAGAGAGACUGCAGCAGUGCCAGGUGCAGCUCCUGUACUUUAAGCAGAUGGAAAUAACCUUUUCCCAGCAGCAAAGCUGAUAACAUCAGCAGAAGAACCCAGGCAGUCGGCACAAGUGGUCCGUUACCUCUGUGGCCUGCCAUUAUCUACAGGAAUGCUGUCCGUUAUCUCAACAGUACCCUAUCAAAGCGCACCGUUACACAAGCACAGCGUGAGCAAGUACUGGCGCUCCAGGAGAGCAAGAGUUUCUUCUCCUACACAUCCUGAUGAACAAAAGUUAAAGAGCAUGAAAACAGCUCUUAGGCCAUGUCCCAAAUGGCACCCUCAGCCCUCGCGGUCCUCCUCCGUGGUCCAGUCCCAUAUGGAACCCUCAGCUCUCCUCCGUAUCUAUACUUUGCCACGUGGGUUGUUAGGUAACGAUACCCUGUUGUCUUUUGCACCAAUGCAAGCUAUGCAAAGGGGCUUAAUAGAGAUAUGUGAUCUCUAA